UUCCGGUGACUCAAGGCGGUGGAACAACCUCUUCCCAUUCCGAACAGAGUCGUUAAACGCCGUACUGCCGAUGAUACUCGCAAGGGGAAAGUAGGCAAUCGCCGGAAC
rnacentral:rRNA from 2 species